rnacentral:rRNA from 1 species
UGCAAGUCGAGCGAACGGACGAGAAGCUUGCUUCUCUGAUGUUAGCGGCGGACGGGUGAGUAACACGUGGAUAACCUACCUAUAAGACUGGGAUAACUUCGGGAAACCGGAGCUAAUACCGGAUAAUAUUUUGAACCGCAUGGUUCAAAAGUGAAAGACGGUCUUGCUGUCACUUAUAGAUGGAUCCGCGCUGCAUUAGCUAGUUGGUAAGGUAACGGCUUACCAAGGCAACGAUGCAUAGCCGACCUGAGAGGGUGAUCGGCCACACUGGAACUGAGACACGGUCCAGACUCCUACGGGAGGCAGCAGUAGGGAAUCUUCCGCAAUGGGCGAAAGCCUGACGGAGCAACGCCGCGUGAGUGAUGAAGGUCUUUGGAUCGUAAAACUCUGUUAUUAGGGAAGAACAUAUGUGUA